rnacentral:misc_RNA from 1 species
GAUGAAGAACGUAGUGAAAUGCGAUAAGUAAUGUGAAUUGCAGAAUUCAGUGAAUCAUCGAAUCUUUGAACGCACAUUGCGCCCGCCAGUAUUCUGGCGGGCAUGCCUGUCUGAGCGUCAUUUCAACCCUCAUGCCCCUGGGGCGUGGUGUUGGGGAUCGGCCAAAGCCCGCGAGGGACGGCCGGCCCCUAAAUCUAGUGGCGGACCCGUCGUGGCCUCCUCUGCGAAGUAGUGAUAUUCCGCAUCGGAGAGCGACGAGCCCCUGCCGUUAAACCCCCAACUUUCCAAGGUUGACCUCAGAUCAGGUAGGAAUACCCGCUGAACUUAAGCAUAUCAAUAAGCGGAGGA